UACGUAGGGUCCGAGCGUUGUCCGGAAUUACUGGGCGUAAAGAGCUCGUAGGUGGUUUGUCGCGUUGUUCGUGAAAACUCACAGCUUAACUGUGGGCGUGCGGGCGAUACGGGCAGACUUGAGUACUGCAGGGGAGAAUGGAAUUCCUGGUGUAGCGGUGGAAUGCGCAGAUAUCAGGAGGAACACCGAUGGCGAAGGCAGUUCUCUGGGCCGUAACUGACGCUGAGGAGCGAAAGCGUGGGGAGCGAACAGG
rnacentral:rRNA from 1 species